rnacentral:lncRNA from 1 species
GGGCUUAAGCGGAGGGAGUCGAGCCAGCGUCGCCGCGAUGGUGUUGUUGGAGAGCGAGCAGUUCCUGACGGAGCUGACCAGACUUUUCCAGAAGUGCCGGACGUCGGGCAGCGUCUAUAUCACCUUGAAGAAGUAUCAGCACUGUGGUGAGCUCCAAGGAAGUGAAUAAGUUUCAGAUGGCUUAUUCAAACCUCCUUAGAGCUAACAUGGAUGGGCUGAAGAAGAGAGACAAAAAGAACAAAACUAAGAAGACCAAAGCAGCAGCAGCAGCAGCAGCAGCAGCACCUGCCGCAGCAGCAACAGCACCAACAACAGCAGCAACAACAGCAGCAACAGCAGCACAGUAAAGGGCAUACAUUUCCUGCUUUCACCAAUUAACCACUGAAUUGCUAUUUUUUCCUUUUGGCCAGAUAGCUAGGUUUCUGGUUCCCCCACAGUAGGUGUUUUCACAUAAGAUUAGGGUCCUUUUGGAAAGAAUAGUUGCAGUGUUUAUAGGAUAGUUGUGGUAAGAAUCUAGUUUAUUUUGCAUUUGGCUAAUUGGUCUGUGCUGCAUGGUUAUAUACUCCUGGAUUAUAGAUUAAAAGUCUCUGUAGACAUCUCUGUGAAGAGCAAGCUAUCAUUAAACAUGUCUG